GCUCCGACCAUAUUCUUUACUAAAGAAUCACCGGCAAUCACAACAACAUCUUUCUUUUUUUUCCUGGUUGAAGAUUUACUUACGGUGACAUUGACCUCUUGUGUUGCGUUAGCACCAGCUAUAUUCUUGUCAGGAGGCAAAUAAUUAUUAGGUGAUGAGCCCCCGCUGGGUGAUAAGGCAUCAUUAGGCGAUGAAGCGUCACCAGGCGAUGAAGCGUCACGAGGUAAUGAGGCGUCACGAGGCGAUGAGGCGUCCCCAGGGGAUGAAGCAUCACUAGCUGGAGGAUUACGUUGCAAUAAC
rnacentral:lncRNA from 1 species